rnacentral:rRNA from 1 species
UACGGGGGGGGCAAGCGUUGUCCGGAAUUACUGGGCGUAAAGGGCGCGUAGGCGGCCUGCUAAGUCGGAUGUGAAAUCCCUCGGCUUAACCGGGGAACUGCGUCUGAUACUGGAUGGCUUGAGAUUGGGAGAGGGAUGCGGAAUUCCAGGUGUAGCGGUGAAAUGCGUAGAUAUCUGGAGGAACACCGGUGGUGAAGGCGGCAUCCUGGACCAACACUGACGCUGAGGAGCGAAAGCCAGGGGAGCAAACGGG